GAAAAAGGUAAGUUAUUACCCCUUUCCCCCUUCCAGAGCCGGGCGGGAGGGGGACCCUGAGGGUGGGGGCACCCUCAGGGCACUAUAGUGCCAGGAAAACGAGUAUGUUUUCCUGGCACUAUAGUGGUCCUUUAAGGCUGCUUACACCCAGAUUCAAGACCUACAAAAGGAAAAGUUGAAACCUUAGACUCCAAAACAACUACUAAUGAGGACAGAGCGCGCAGAAAAAAAUAUACGUAUAAGAGGUGUAUCAGAAAAAAAUCAAACAAUUCGAUCUGUGCUGUCAUUGUCUUGGGAAAAUCUGAAGCUCAGGAUGAAGCAAUUAUAAAAUGGGUGCAUAGAACGCCGUAACGGCUGCAGCCCCCAGAGCGCCCGGGAUACUUAACUUCCCGGUGCUCCGCUUCGGGAGGACUGCCUCACAGCCCAGGCAGCCCUCCCACUGCAAAUAUGGUCCCCCUAUAGCUAGCUGUGGAUCUGAAAUGUCAGACAGUCCCCCUGCUGGUGGGAAAGUAAAAAAAAAUCAUUAAACAAA